ACAUACACACACACACACACACACACACACACACACACUAAAAGCUGUCCUGAAUAAAAUAGAAAUUAUUGAUAGAACAAAAGAAAAUUAAAAGGUAAUCCCAGUUGCCCUUUAACGUUAUAGAUAUAUCUUGAGCCUACUGGAAGGACAAAUCAUAAAUUAUUAGAGCAUUAGGAGGAAAUGAAAGUGAAAGAUUUUUGAAAGGUAGAAUAAGCAUAGUAAAGGAAUACAGAUCCAAAGAAGAAAACUAAAAAAAAAAAGAUGAAAAAUAAGAUGAAUGAUGAAAAAAUAAGAGAAUCUACAGAAUUUGAACACACAGAAAUAAAAAUUAUGUGAAAGCUUAAUUAACAGGAAAAUGCAUGCUGAGGAAGCCCACAGUAUGCCAAAGGGAGAUUAAAGUGUACACUAUAUAGGCAUAGACUUACUCUCCACAUAUUCUCCAUAAAUGGGCACAAGUUGUUUAGGGAUGGAAAUAACUAACAAAAAGGACUUGAACAAUAAAAUUAAAGAAUAUCAAGAUUUAAAGGGAUAGCCUUGAAACCAUCCAGAAAGAAACAAACUAAAUGUCUGUGAAUGGAGUUCAAUGAUAGACUCCCACCUAGCAUGUAUGGUGCCCCGAGUUCAACCUCAGUCAUUGCAAUACUGAGUGAUUAUGUUAAAUUAUGUUGAAUCCAGUGGACUAGAACUCAUUAAGAUGUGAAACUUCAGAACAAUGGCUAAGCCUAAGAAAAGAAUGCACUGAAAUUACACUUCUAUAUUUUGAUAUUUUAUUAAUCAACUAUAGGAGGAAAAUACAAAUAUUUUAAGACACGGCUCCCUCAGAAAUUGUAUCAAAACUUUACAAAACUUCACUAAAGUAAAAUAUGACAUGACUGUCACAUUCAUUAACUGUAGCAGCUGUGGUUACCUGAAUAAAUUCAAGGCAAAAUGCCCACAUGGUUGGACAAGAGGAACUCCAGGCUGCACCCCUUACUGAGGAAUUAUUGACAGCUGAGAGUUGCUGAGAGGGGAGCAUUUUUUUUAAAAUAAUGUUUAAAGUGCUAUGGAUCAAAUGAAUGAGCACACAUAAUUUACAUAAUUGAGCAAAUAUAAUUCUUAUGGCUGCUUUAUGAAUUACUCUAGUUUGCUUUUCUGUUGUUCUGAUAAAACAUUCUGAUAAAAUGGUUAUUUCAAUUGGUAUGUCUCUACUACAGUCCAUCACUGAAGAAAGUCAGGGCAGUAACUCAAGGCUGGAACAGGAAACAGAAACCAUGGAAACAGAAAGAGAAACUGGAAACAGGAACUCUGCUUGCUGACUUACUACACAUUGUUCAAAUGAAACAUUCAAAUAGGAUUUAUAUUUAAAGCAUCCCUUCAUCAGAUCUGCAAACCUCUGCAAUUUGGAAAUGACAUACAAAUUAUAUUGUAUGCUCUGAUUGUUCUUAUAAUUAAAUAAAUGUAUUUAUUUAUUUUACAUCCCAACUGCAGUUUCCCCUCCCUCCUCUUCUCCUGUUCCCCAACCACCACUUCCCUCCUCCCUCAUCCCCCAAUCCACUCCUUCCCCAUUUCUGUUCAUAAAGGCACAGAACA